AUUGAACGCUGGCGGCAUGCUUUACACAUGCAAGUCGAACGGUAACAGGGAGCUUGCUCCGCUGACGAGUGGCGAACGGGUGAGUAAUGCGUCGGAACGUGCCGAGUAGUGGGGGAUAACGCAUCGAAAGGUGUGCUAAUACCGCAUACGAACUGAGGUUGAAAGUGGGGGACCUUCGGGCCUCACGCUAUUCGAGCGGCCGACGUCUGAUUAGCUAGUUGGUGAGGUAAAGGAUCACCAAGGCGACGAUCAGUAGCGGGUCUGAGAGGAUGAGCAGUCACACUGGAACUGAGACAAGGGCCAGACUCCUACGGGAGGCAGCAGUGGGGAAUAUUGGACAAUGGGCGAAAGCCUGAUCCAGCCAUGCCGCGUGUGUGAAGAAGGUCUUCGGAUUGUAAAGCACUUUAAGUUGGGAGGAAGGGCAGUAAGUUAAUACCUUGCUGUUUUGACGUUACCGACAGAAUAAGCACCGGCUAACUUCGUGCCAGCCGCCGCCGUAACAC
rnacentral:rRNA from 1 species